UCAUCAUUUUUUGGAAUUCAGAUGGAGCAUUUUAUAUACUACAUACACACACAUAUAUAUAUAUAUAUAUAAACUACGCAUAUAUGUGUUGCGUUUGGACUGUUGAGUGUAUACACAUACGAGAUGUAUAUACUGAUCUGUUUAUGUGUAUUUAUACAGUUGCUUACUAUCAGUUAUACACAAUAAUCAUUUAAUAUAUACACUGAUAUACGCACGUACAUGUACCCUUACACGUUGAUAAGUGCAUAUAUACUGUGUAUAUGUACACUAAUACAUGCAUUUUUUAUACAUUGAUAUAUAUGCCCAAAGAGACACUUAUUAACAGUUUAUAUAUAUAGUGUGUUUAUAUAUGAUAUAUAUAUACUGAUAGGUUUAUGUAUGUAUAUGUAUACACUUGCUAUCAGUUAUAUAUAUGCUGCUAUGCGCAUACAUAUGCACCGUUACGCAUUCAUAACUUCAUACAUACUUUUCUAUAUACACUGAUAUCUAUGACCAUAUAGAUACUUAUUAUCAGUUUAUACACUUAUUAGCGUAUAUGUACACUAAUAUGUAUAUACGCACACUCAUAUGCAUAUGUAUAACGUGUUUACAUAUACACUCAUAUAUAAGAUCUUUUAUAUAC
rnacentral:lncRNA from 1 species